UACGAAGGGGGCUAGCGUUGUUCGGAAUUACUGGGCGUAAAGCGCGCGCAGGCGGCUCUUCAAGUCAGGGGUGAAAGCCCAGAGCUCAACUCUGGAACUGCCUUUGAGACUGAAGAGCUUGAGUACGGGAGAGGUGAGUGGAAUUCCCAGUGUAGAGGUGAAAUUCGUAGAUAUUGGGAAGAACACCGGUGGCGAAGGCGGCUCACUGGCCCGUUACUGACGCUCAGGCGCGACAGCGUGGGGAUCAAACAGGGAUAGAA
rnacentral:rRNA from 1 species